rnacentral:lncRNA from 1 species
ACAAAUGUGUCCCCUGGAUACUUCCAGUUGGGGACCAGGUUCUCAGCCCUUGGAAGUGGAGGGGAGGCCCCCACUGAGUAGAGACCUCCAGGAGGGCACUCGGUCCAGUCUCCCCCACAUCUCCUUCCUUCACAUUCCUGAUCCUGUCCCAGAUUUUUGGGCAAAGUUCUGGAAAGGUCUCUGUGGUCCGGUUCUAGGAUUUCCUCUAGAUCUCAUGACCCAUCAUCUCCCUGGCCUCUCACAUGAUGUCUUCUUCCCACAGGUGAAAAAGGAGGGAGCUACACUCAGGCUGCAGGCAGUGACAGUGACCAGGGCUCCGAUGUGUCCCUUACCAAGGGUCCUAGAGGUGAGACCCUGGAGGGCCUAGAUGGGGAGGGGGUUGGGGCAGAGGGGGUGCCCUGGGUGACGGGGACCUUUGAGGGGGACGUUUGGAGCAUGUGGGGCUGUUGAGCAUGUCAGCCCUUGCUUGACUGACCUGCCUGUUUCCUGAUGAUUUUCUUUCACAGUGUGAGACAACUGCCUUGUGGGGACUGAGGGACACAAGAUUUGUUCACAUCCCACUUUGUGACUUCAGAUCCCCUGACUCCUGUUUCUGAAGCUGCCUCUGAAAGGGUCUGUGUUCCUAUGAGCAUCCUGAGAGGAGGUGGGCACCCUGGCCCAGCCCUGCCCCCCACGUCCCCUCCUCACCCUGACCUGUGUUCUCUUCCCUGAUCCUCUUUCCAGUUCUUGCAAGUGGGAGCUGGGCUGGGGGGGAGGCCACUGGACACCAUCUCCAUCCUUAUCUUAACUUGACUGCCCUGAGUAAUGACUUCCUGUUGAAUUUGCUUUUUCUAAUUGGUGCCAUGAGGAGUUGAGGGGAUAAUAAAUGAGAGAUUUCCUUAGUUUGAAAGAGGAAAUAAAUGGAAGGAUUGAGAACCUUCCAGAAUCCACAUGUGUGCUGUGCUGCCUCUGUUCCAUGUGAGACGUGAGCAGAGAAACAUGGUCGGGGCCUGUGCCCGGUGAGAGCUCAGGGCAUCAUGGGCUUCAGUGUGGACACUCCCAGGCUCGGCCGUCUUUUCCCCUGUCCCUUUGUCCUUGUCCCUUCAGGAGAACUUUCUUCCACCAGGCCCUGUGAUCUCAGGGACUGAGAAGUCCCCUGGGCCUUGUCCUGUAUUCAGGAGCUUGGUUAGCAAGGGCCUCCUGUCACCAGGUAGCCUACGCUCCAGCCUUGGUCCCAUCAGUAGUCCCUUUAUUCUGUGUUUGUAUUUGGCCUUUUUAGAUUUUUUUUUUAAAUACGGACUUUUCAUUUACAUGUGUGAAAUUACAGUCUCAUUUUGCUCUGGGUGUCCCUCGUCUGCCACAGCCACCAGAGUCAUUUGCCUGUCAUUGUUCCCACAUGUCCGGGGGUCCCUGCUCACAGAUUCUCAGUGGUAUCAAGAGAUCCAUUUUCAGCCUCAUCCAGCUCUUGCCCUCCUUCCAGAGAUGUUNUUUUUUUUUUUUUUUUUUUUUUUUUUUUUUUUUUUUUCGACUUUUCAGGGCCACAGCCAGGGCACAUGGAGGUUCCCAGGCUAGGUGUCUAAUCAGAGCUACAGCUGCUGGCCUACACCACAGCCAUAGGAACGUGGGAUCUGAGCCACACCUGUAAACUACACCACAACACACAGCAGUGCUGGAUCCUUAACGCAGUGAGCAUGGCCAGGGAUCGAACCCGCCACCUCAUGGUUCCUAGUCGGGUUCAUUUCCACUGUGCCACCACGGGAACGCCUGGAUGCUUCUUUCUAACUUUUCCCCAUCCUUUUGUGGGAACGAGAUUCUGGAAGUAGCAACGAGGAGGGACCCAGUGGUUUUCCAUCUUGACCUCAUUCUUGCUGGAUCUGGAUCUUCUCUGCAGCCUGCCCCCUCCUCUGCCCUGAGCUCUCCUCAGCCCAGUGCCGGCUCCAAUCCAAGCCCAUGCAUUUCGAAAGCAGAGUCUGAUAGACUCACAGCAGCGGGAAUCUAGGGCCAGAAGCACAGGAGCAUCUUUCCUGGGGAGAGAAAGAGCGCUGUGUGGGGUGAGCAGACGGACUGGUCUGGCAGGGAGGGGACAUCAGCCCUUGUGAGGAAAGGACAGGCGGCCCUGAUGUCACCGGGAAUGGACAUUGUGCUGGAGCUGCCACCAGACAGCACGUGGCCCGAGGGCAUGUUAGUAAAAGUACUGUCCCUAGAAGAGGGAGGGGCUGUGCACUGAUCCAUCAUUCAACUCUGUUGAACGGAUAUUUGUUGUGCGCCAGACACAGGACACACGCUUUCGGCAUCUGGGAGACCUCAGGGACGUCGCCAGAGACCAAACUUGUCGGCGGUGUGGAGUCUCUGUCCUGGGGGAGGGGCAGAGUGGACACUAUAUGCCUCGUCAGGGAGGGACGUGUCACAUCGGAGGUGGGAGGGGCCUUGGGGAAGGUGACCCCGAGUAGAAGUGUGUGGGGACAGGGUGGGGGGUGAGUGUGGGCCUUCCUGGGAGGGUGACCUUUGAGUCCAGAUGGGAAGGACCCGAAGGAAAUGCCCGCGAGGCUGUGUGGGGACGUUCUCUGCAGGCAGGGGACCCUCCUGGGCGAAGGCACAAGGACAGGAGGGGGUAUGUGUUCAGGGAGGAGCCAGGAGGCCGGCGAGGCUGCCGGAGGGAGGCGCUGGGAUGAGACCCACUGUCCGGCCAGAUCGUGUGGCCUCCCCAUGUGAGAAGGGUUUUGAUUUUGUCUCAGAUGUGGCGUUUGUAAGAUGGUUUGACCGAAGAUCAGGCUGGAGUGAGUGCUCUCUAGAAGCAUGGGUCUGGCUGCUGCACAGACUCAGGAGGGGAAGGUGAGCGACACCGUCAAGGAAGGAAACAGAGCAGCAUCCAGGCUGGAGGAGAUGCUGCUGGUCGGGGCGAGAGCAGGGAAUGGACGAGUCAGUGACUGGAGUCUCGACACGUUCUCAGGAUGGAUUUAGAGCAUUUCCUCCUGGAUCAAAUCUGGACUGUGAGAAAGCAGAAAGAAGGAUGGCACCCCAAACUUGAGACUGUGCAAGUUGGCCUGUGGAAAUGGGGAGAUUCUGGGAGUUCCCGUCGUAGCGCAGUGGUUAACGAAUCCAACUAGGAACGAUGAGCUUUUGGGUUUGAUCCCUGGCCUUGCUCAGUGGGUUAAAGAUCGGGCAUUGCUGUGAGCUGUGGUGUAGGUUGCAGACGUGGCUCAGAUCCCGUGUUGCUGUGGCUCUGGCAUAGGCCAAUGGCAACAGCUCUGAUUAGACCCCUAGCCUGGGAACCUCUAUAUGCCUCGAGAGUGGCCUCAGAAAAGAUAAAAAAAACAAAAACAAAAACAAAAAAAAGAAAAGAAAGAAAUGAGGAGACUCUGGAAGGAGCACAUUUGAGGAGGUGGCAGCACCUGCACUCGGAUUAGGAACGUGGCCACUGAGUGGCAUGUACCCAUCUGGGCUUUAGGGGAGGUGCCUUGGCUGGAGAAAUAGAUGGAGGAGGUGACACCCAGUGAAUGAUAUUGAAAGCUCUAAGAACACACGAGGUCACCAGGGGAGAACUGACUACAGAAGAAGAAGGACAAGGAUUAAACCCUGAACCCCCAGCGCUGGGCGAUCUGAUCAGAGCGCACACACCUGAGCAGACUGUGCGGAUCUGACCCCGGGUCCAGACACCACAGGCCCAGGGAGUCCCCAUCCCCACUCGCACAGGACUCAGCUGGACGCCUCGUUAGAUACAGUCGGUCUUGAUAAGAGGGUGAGCUUCUGCCUUUACAGCAAGGUUGGUGCUGAUGCCCUGCUGGUCUCCGGGUCACACUUUGAGCGGCAAGACGGUCCCCAGGAUUCCCACGUGCCUGUGCCUCAGUCUCCCCUUUAGAGCUUGUUAAUCAGGGUUCCUGGAUCCAUGCCCAGGGUGCUGAGAUGGGGGGUCUGGGAAGAGGCCUGAGGAUGUGUAAUAAUCCCGACCAGCAGGCCUGAGGCUCUGUCAGAGUGAGAUCCACGGAGGUCAGUGGUCAGAGAGGGAUCAGCCUGGAGUGGGCUCUUCAAUACACAUUCCCAGGUGUUUUCCUGGAAGCAAAUGACAAGACGUGUCCUCUCUACCCUGGGGUAUAACCAGGUGGCUGACUUAGGAGGUUCUCGGCUCAGCAUAAAGAAAGCCUCAGAGUUGCUAAGAGAAUCGAUUUAAAUUCACACACACACACACACAAAUGGUAAAGAUGUGACAUCACACAGUUGUCGGCUGAGGCGAUGACGAUAAUCACUUUGCUGUACGUAAGUGUUUCCUAUCGACAAUUUGUACACUAUAAACUUAAUAUUUAUAUCAAUCAUAUCUCAAUAAACUAGGGGGGGGAAUCUCUGAAUCUUGCUCUCUGAGAGUUUCCUUGUGUGUUAUUCUUGCAAAGUUCUUUGUGGGCAAAAGGAUUUCGAAUCGUUCUAAAUUCAAGUUCCCAUCAUGGCUCAGUGGUUAAUGAACCCGGCUAGUAUCCAUGACGAUGCGGGCUCGAUCCCUGGUCUCGCUCAGUGAGUUAAGGAUCGGGUAUUGCUGUGAGCUGUGGUGUAGGUGGAAGACAAGUCUCAGAUCCCAUGUGGCUGUGACAUAGGCCGGCAGCUAGAGCUGCAAUUCAACCCCUAGCCUGGGAACCUCCUUGUCCUGCGGGUAGAGUCCUAAGAAGAUAUAAGANAAAAAAAAAAAAAAAAAAAAAAAAAAAAAAAAAAAAAAAGGUUCUAAUCAAAUAAAGUCAGAGAGACAGAUUCGUAGUUUUGUUUUAUUUCAGGAACAGCCCUGAGGCCACACAGCCAGGAACAGAAUCCACAGCCCUACCCAGUUCGGGUCCCGCCUGGG